GCAAAUAGGUAAGUUGCCCCUCCAACCACUUGAGGGGUUCAAAUGAAACCCUAUCAACCGUCCUGCAAAAGAAAAAUAGUGAGAGAAAAGGGUUAGAGAGAGGAGGAAGAAUGAACGGCCGAAAGACUCAUCGAAAACUACUGUCGGAGUCUACUCCGAUCAAGAUCAUGAUGCAAGGAGCCUUUCUUGGAAGGGAAAAGAGAAUGCGGGUGGCCGGAGUCCCAUUUUCAUCAAGAAAUCAGAAAAAUCCGCGAGGAACAACUCUCUACAAGAUCUUUGAAGAAGUUUGACCGAGACCUCAACCCGAAGGCGGAGAUCCGAGAGUCGUCCGAGAACGGUGUCGGUCAAGGUGGAGGAGCGUUGGAGAGCUGUGCGGUCACAGUGGGGGUCGUUCCGGAGCGUCAAUCUCUUUUUUGGAGUCUUUUGGGAAUUCCUUUUUAUAUUUGUAUUUUAUUUCCUUUUUGUAAACUUAAAAUCCUC